AGCGGCGGACGGGUGAGUAACGCGUGGGUAACCUGCCUCAUACAGGGGGAUAACAGUUAGAAAUGGCUGCUAAUACCGCAUAAGACCACGGUACUGCAUGGUACAGUGGUAAAAACUCUGGUGGUAUGAGAUGGACCCGCGUCUGAUUAGGUAGUUGGUGGGGUAACGGCCUACCAAGCCAACGAUCAGUAGCCGACCUGAGAGGGUGACCGGCCACAUUGGGACUGAGACACGGCCCAA
rnacentral:rRNA from 1 species